rnacentral:rRNA from 1 species
UACGAAGGGGGCUAGCGUUGUUCGGAAUUACUGGGCGUAAAGCGUGCGCAGGCGGCUUCUCAAGUCAGGGGUGAAAGCCCAGAGCUCAACUCUGGAAUUGCCUUUGAGACUGAGUGGCUUGAGUACGGGAGAGGUGAGUGGAAUUCCCAGUGUAGAGGUGAAAUUCGUAGAUAUUGGGAAGAACACCGGUGGCGAAGGCGGCUCACUGGCCCGUAACUGACGCUAAGGCACGACAGCGUGGGGAUCAAACAGG